rnacentral:rRNA from 1 species
CAGUAGCCGCGGGAAUACAGAGGGUGCAAGCGUUAAUCGGAAUUACUGGGCGUAAAGCGCGCGUAGGUGGUUCGCCAAGUUGGAUGUGAAAUCCCCGGGCUCAACCUGGGAACUGCAUCCAAAACUGGCGAGCUAGAGUAUGGUAGAGGGUGGUGGAAUUUCCUGUGUAGCGGUGAAAUGCGUAGAUAUAGGAAGGAACAUCAGUGGCGAAGGCGACCACCUGGACUGAUACUGACACUGAGGUGCGAAAGCGUGGGGAGCAAACAGGAUUAGAUACCCCAGUAGUCCCUGUCUCUUAUAC